rnacentral:rRNA from 1 species
CCUACGGGGGGCAGCAGUGAGGAAUAGUGGUCAAUGGGAGAGAUCCUGAACCAGCCAAGCCGCGUGAGGGAAGACGGCCCUAUGGGUUGUAAACCUCUUUUGUCGGAGAACAAAACCCGGGACGUGUCCCGGACUGCGUGUAGCCGAAGAAAAAGCAUCGGCUUACUCCGUGCCAGCAGCCGCGGUAAUACGGAGGAUGCGAGCGUUAUCCGGAUUUAUUGGGUUUCAAGGGUGCGUAGGCGGUCCGGUAAGUCAGCGGUAAAAGUGCGGGGCUCAACCCCGGCGAGCCGUUGACACUGGCAGACUUGACUUGGCGAGACGUACGCGGCAUGCGCGGUGUAGCGGUGAACUGCUUAGCUAUCGCGC